rnacentral:rRNA from 1 species
UACGUAGGGGGCAAGCGUUGUCCGGAUUUAUUGGGCGUAAAGAGCGUGUAGGCGGUUUGGUAGGUCCGCUGUGAAAACUCGAGGCUCAACCUCGAGACGCCGGUGGAAACCAUCAGACUAGAGUCCGGAAGAGGAGAGUGGAAUUCCUGGUGUAGCGGUGAAAUGCGCAGAUAUCAGGAGGAACACCGGCGGUGUAGACGGCUUUCUGGACCGUAGCUGACGCUGAGACACGAAAGCGUGGGUAGCAAACAGG